rnacentral:misc_RNA from 1 species
GGGUGCUGUGGUCUGCAGAGAGGGCUAAGUAUUCCAACGGUGCUUUUCAGAAAUUACCAGGGCUAAGUUUUGAAGGAUAAUGGCUUCUCAGUUACAGAUUCAAGGCGAUGAAUCCGUACUUUUACGGGUUACUCACUCCAAUAUGAAGAGCUUUUCUCCAGAAAUCCGUUUUUCUCUUCAGAUGUCAGUGGAAGCCGUGAAAGAUAAGCUUUGGAAAAAGUGUGGUACUUCAGUCAAUUCGAUGUCCUUAGAGCUAUAUGACGAAACUGGAACUAAAAUCUCAGUCCUAAGUGAUAAUGCAAGACCACUUGGUUUUUAUUCCCCACUGGAUGGUUAUCGUCUGCAUGUCAUUGAUCUUGAUCCAGCGUCAGUGACCUCCGGAGGUUGGCUCGAGGACACAUCACUUGUGGAGAAGUAUACUAUCUCUGAAGAGGCUUAUGAGAAACUCGGAGGUACUUUCAGAAAAUUCAAGGAAACAUUGCCGCUUAAGCAACCGCCUGGUCAAGAAUCUAAAAUAUCUGACAACAACAACAGGGAAGAUCUUUGCGCAAAUAUUAAGAUAGGGGACAGAUGUGAAGUUGAACCUGGAGAGAGAAGAGGCAUGGUCAAAUUUGUUGGUCAGGCAGAAACACUUGCACCUGGGUUUUGGGUUGGAGUUCAGUUUGAUGAACCAGUAGGAAAACAUGAUGGCAUGGUUAAAGGGAAACGUUACUUUGACUGUCCUCCCCUUCAUGGUGCAAUGGUCCGACCAGACAAAGUAAAGAUUGGAGACUAUCCAGAAAAAGAUCCUUUUGAGGAUGAGGAAAUUUAAGUGUAUAGGAUUGUCGUCUGCAUGUUUCAAAUAUGUAACUGAGCUCAAAAGAUGGUCAAGCCUGUAUUUGAAAGUCACAGAAAUGACAGAAGAUUUCACGUCGAUGAAGAAACCUGAGUGAAUUGAACAUUUUCCCAGCAGUUGCCGACAAGUUGUCAUGGGUGUAUUUUGAUUGUAAUUUAACGGUUGAUCAUUGUAAUCAAGUUCCCAGAUAUACAUUUAUUUCAGCGAUUGGGGUAUCCUGUUUAAACUUCCCACUGACUUUGAGGUCUGUGCGGUCCUGAAGCCAGAUGAAACUAGAACGAACAUUUAACCUCUCCAAUCCCAUGGUGUCUGGCAGAAAACCUCCUACUGUAAUAUAACAUAAC